UACGGGGGGGGCUAGCGUUGUCCGGAAUCAUUGGGCGUAAAGAGCGUGUAGGCGGCUCGAUAAGUCCGCUGUGAAAGUCCAGGGCUCAACCCUGGGAUGCCGGUGGAUACUGUCGGGCUCGAGUCCGGAAGAGGCGAGUGGAAUUCCUGGUGUAGCGGUGAAAUGCGCAGAUAUCAGGAGGAACACCAAUGGCGAAGGCAGCUCGCUGGGACGUGACUGACGCUGAGACGCGAAAGCGUGGGGAGCAAACAGG
rnacentral:rRNA from 1 species